AAAAAUGUAUAAAUUAUCAAACAAAUGAUUAAAUAUUAAAUUGUCAUAGAAAACAAUGAUGCUAUUUCUAUAUGUUACUUAUCUCUUUUUUUUUUUUUUUACUUAUUUCACAUAAAUAAAGUAAUUCAGUUCUGAAUUUCGCAAUUUAAUUCACCUCAAAAUCAUAUUCUUUCUACAUUUUGGUUUCCUACAGUAUUCCAGAGGGAGGACCAGAAGGAGCCCUCUAAUAUAUCUCUCCCCUGAAUGUCACUUUGAGCCAUCUUAUCCUCAAGCCUUAAAUGAAGAAUAAGUGGCAGAUAAACGGAGCAAUUAGAGGGCCAUUCCCAAUCAGCAAAACAAGUGACCUGAGAAGUCCAGUAGUGUAAUUGGCAGCAGAUGUGCAAGGUAGACAAAUGUAGCUUCAAGUCCAGCUCAAGUCUACCUUUGCCUUUACUCAUUAAUCAUGGCAUCCGAGAAGUGUCUGAAAGCAACCAAGUCUAAGAGGAAGGUUGUAAUAUCAAUGAUUGAGAUGAAAAAGGAACUAAUUACAAAGCAAGAAAGCAGUACACAAGAUGAAUCUGGCAACAAUACGUUAAGAUGCCAAAGUCAAUGGUGUGUAACCAAUAUAUAUAAUUUUCAUUUUAUUAUAGAAUAUUUAUGUAUCUUAUUUAUUGUUUUUGUGUUUUAAUUGACUAUUAGGGCAUUUAAUUAUGUUAUUUUUACCUUAAAUUAGGCAAACACAAGCAAAUGAAAAUAUCAGAUUUUAUGAAAAAAGUAGAGAAAACUUAAGAUGUUACAGAAACACUCAGAUGAUGACAAUAUUUUGCCAAAAGAAAAAAUGUCCUCAUUUAACAGUUUUUAGCAAUGAAGAGAAAAUUAAUUUUAACAUGCAAUAUUUUUGAUUGUGAUUGUUAGUUAAUUACUGAUUGCUUUAAUAAAUAUAUUUCUCUUAACUGCAAAAAAAACAAUAUAUACUUUUGCUAACUGUUGAAACCUAAUCUUAUAUUCUAUACCAGUCCUAUAUAGUAUAUUUUUUAUCAUUAUGGAGGGAUUUAUUGUUACAUCAAAAAUUGCUGUACCAAGAUUUUAUAAUGAAAAUAGUCAGUGUAUGCAUUGAUAGUCAGAAUUAUUCCUGUACACCUAAGAAUUAAACUAACCAUUUAUUUGUGAAAAUACAAAUUAGCAUAUAUCUAUCCUACAUAAAAAAAAGGGCCCUAAUAUAUAACCACAAUAUUUAUAAAACAGAAAGAAAUUCUUCAAAAUAGAUAAAAGAAUAGUUAUUUCCUCAGAGAUGUAAUAAAAGAAAUUGCUAAUAAUAACUAUUACUGUUUUACAAUAAUUUAGAUGUGAAAGUCUGAUAAAUUUUUCUUUACUCUAAUUCAGUUUAUAUUUACAAAUAUCUA